rnacentral:rRNA from 1 species
UGGAAGUAAAAGUCGUAACAAGGUUUCCGUAGGUGAACCUGCGGAAGGAUCAUUACUGGUAGUUUUUCUGGGCCGAAAUCUCAAUUGAAUUCGGCCUUGAAGAAUAUCUUAUCCUGUGCAAUGAACUUGUCGCCUGGGGUUUGAAUAUAGUCUUUUGGGAGUGAAAACUCUUGAUUGCUGACCCCAAUAGGCAUCCUUUCAAUACUUUUUUGGUAUUAAAACACUUUUUUUUUUAAAACUGAAUCCCAAGUAUCUAUGUGAUAUUUUUUAACCAAAUGAGUUUCGGCUUAUUUGAAAAAACAACUUUCAGCAAUGGAUCUCUUGGUUCUCGCAUCGAUGAAGAACGUAGCAAACUGCGAUAAGUAGUGUGAAUUGCAUUCAGUGAAUCAUCGAAUCUUUGAACGCACCUUGCACUCACUGGUAUUCCGGUGAGUACGCCUGUUUCAGUAUCAUUGAAAACCCACAACCAAAUCUCGUUUGGUUGGACUUGGGCUAUUCGUUUGGAAGAUUUGGUAUUAAUUUUUAAUGCCAAAAAUAAUUUCAAGCAGCCUGGAAUAUACUGUUGGUCAAUUUGUAUCGUAGUAAUCAAAGACUUUGGCUUUAUAAACGAACUAGAGGGAAUUCAUUGAUUUGACCUUUGGUUUUAGCUAUUGUCAUUUUAUGGUUACAGUAAAUCGAUCUUGGCUCAAACAACUCUAGCCAUUUCGGCUUUAGUUGGUAUACCAAAAUCAUUUUUUCAGUAUCGAUCUGAAAUCAGGUGGGACUACCCGUUGAACUUAAGCAUAUCAAUAAGC